CUGCCGGGUGCGCUGGGGCCGUGGGUUCGAGGCCUGCCCCGGCGCCAUCUCUGCUCGCUGCACGGCCCGCUGUCGGGGCUCUUGGGCACCGCUGUUGCCACGGGCACUCCAGGGCACCGACUGCCUCAGGACCCGGGCCACUUCUGGUUACUCUGGGCGUGACUAGGGAAUUGGUGUGAAAACCACGUGUGGCUCAGGGCGGCUCCGUUUUAAGAAGGCUUUGUACGAGUCUGCCCUUAGGGCAGAGAGGGAUGGCUGGGUUUGAAAGCGUGUUUGUUUGUUCUUGCUGCGGCCAGUAGAUUUUCCUCCGAUUACAGAAAGCGUCAAGGAAACAUCCAGACUGGAAAAAGCCUCUAAGAUCAUUGAGUCCACCACGUUGAACACCGUGUAAACCUGGCUCUGCCACUACGUGCCACAUCCAGUCUAUCCUUAAACACCUCUGGGGAGGGUGACUCCAGCACCUCCCUGGGCAUAGGCAAUCCAUUCCAGUGUUUAAUCACUCCUCCACUGAAGAAAUUCUUCCUGAUGUCCAACCUGAACCUUCCCUGACACGGUUCGAGGCCACGUCCUCUUACUGUACUGUCUCUAACCCGUCAGAAGAUCCCGACCCCCCGGCUGCAGCCUCCUCUCAGGGAGCUGUAGAGAGCGAUGAGGGCACACCCGAGCCUCCUUCGCUCCCUCAGCUGCGCCUCACGGCACUUGUGCUCCGGACCCUUCCCCAGCUCCGUUGUCCUUCUCUGGACUCGCUCCAGCUCCUGAAAGUCCUUCCCGAAAUGAGCCCAGUACUCGAGAUGCGUCCUCCUCACGAGUGCCCAGUACAGGGGAAAAGAUCAGCCCUUGGGAAAUACAGAAUGCUGGAAAACAGAGCGUACUUCAGGGAUCACAACCAUGGGAACGUGUGCUGAAACGCUUUACUGCUGUCAGUCUGCAAUGAAGGGCUCGGGAAAACAGGAGGCUUGCAUGCAGGUGACAGUGGAAAAACAUGCACUUGAGAAGAAACUGUUGCUGUUUUAUUUUGGCACCUAACCCCAUUUGUCUUAGAGUAGAAAUGCUGAGUGAAAAAGAGCAGGUAGUAAGUUGCUUUAUUGGUAGCCAAGUUGUGUGAAACUGCCUGUCAUUAUAAUUCACAACAUUAUCUGAAGAAAGCAGAAACUGUACACAAAAGGCAAACUAUUUUGGUUUGCUGGUUUUAGGGAACCAAAUAGUUUGUUCCUAUUUUUCUUUAGGUUUGGGGGGGGGUUGUUUUGUUUUUUUUUUGUUGUUGUUUUAAUCUUUUUGCAAAUAGGCAGGAGUUGGAGCCGUUACAUAGCUGUGGUGGCUUGUAGGGAAUUGCGGCAGAGAGAAAGCACAAAUGUGACCAGAGAUACCAGAAAGGUGACCUCACACAGUACCAACCCAGCAAAGGAUGUGACUUCAUGACUCUGGGAGCAACUUCAGGCUUCUAGUCCUGUGCUCUUCUCCCGUUUUAGUAUUUAUAGAUGCAGAAGCUCCAAACUCUAUUUAGUCAAGUUCAAAGUGUAAAUGUUAUUAAGGAAACCCUGAUGUGACAGAUGAGUCUUCUUUCAGCCAUUUAUGUCGUCCUUCAGCCACCACAGGCUGCUGAAAACAUUCCGAUUGCCAAACUGCCCACAGCCAUUUAAAAUGCUCUUACAUGCUCCUGCUGGUACAAUUUUAUUAGAGAGGCUUUUCUCAUACCAGUAUAAAAAGGCUUACCCUAAACUAACAUGGUAAAACAGAAACUUGGCUACCUUAAAAGUGGGCAAACUUAUUUUAAAAUUACAAAUGAACAACUGCAGCAAGAAUAAUUUUUUAAUGGAUGCAUUACUAAGUUUUCAAUGAAAAAUCCUAUAAAAUUUCACAAUAGGCACUUUUUCUCAUUAUUGUUGCAAGCCAUUUCCUCAAAAUGUGGCAAUAUAUGCCAUAUGCAAACACUAACCAGCAAAUGCAAGACAUUAUCUGUGUUAUUUUUGGAACAAGAUAAGAUUUUUUUGAAUGAUCCAUAGCUCCAAGCUAUCAGACGGAAACUUGGCAUCAACCUCUAUAAAUAAACAGAAUGGUUAGUAAAUGAUACUCUAAAAGCAGUACUUAAGAGAGGAACAGCAAGCAUUUCUAACCUGCAAAAUGACAAUGUGCUUGUAAAAUUGCAGGAGGGGAUUCUGAGAACAAGGACCUAUGAUCUGCUACUUUAAGUCCACUGCCUAAUGUGGUUGGUUUUAUAAUGAUAUUUGCCAUUUGAUAUCAAUUAACCGAUGCCAAUGAGGUACAAAGCAAGCCUGCAGGCAAUCUAUAACUCUUCACUAGAAAACAAAAACAAAAUAAAUCAAAAAUAAAACCAAAAAAAUGGUAAAAGUGAUUAGUACAAAUCAAACAACCAGGAUAUUAGCAGCUGUGGAAUAAAGGCACAGUAACAGUGAGCUGCAACAUGGUCUUUAAGUGAGCUAUUCAUGAGAAACCUAAGCCAGAUGUGUAAUCAUUAUAAAUGCUGUUAGGGAGAAAUCUGUAAAUAGAUUUAAAACCACAGCUGAUACAAUAGGAGUAUAUAUAUGGUAGAUUAAACCGGUAUGUUCACUAAUAUUUUUAUAAUACUUCCCUGUACCAUUACUCUAUCUGGCCUGAAAGGGAUAUUUUUAUGAAGACUCUGAAGCCUGGAAAAAAACAGUACACACUUCUUUUUUUUUUUAUGUCUUGACGAAUCUGUUGAAAUUUCAUUCAGGGAGAAGGGAACUGUUAUGUGUCUUUUUGACCUCAAUUAUUUUCUGUUGUAAUUUUUGAAAAAUAAUUAUCUCUUUUAAUCGUUGCAUAGAAGUUUCAUUCUAUAGUAAAACUGUGUCAAUAAUUACUUUGGGUAAGGUCUCUGUGUAGGCCUGUAUUCAGCUUUGAAUAUCUGAAUGACUCAUUUUUGUUGAAUAUUCUUAUUAUGCACAGGCUAAACACAGAUUGACUUGAGAGUACACUGGGUUGCACAGAAGUAUUUGAGAUAAAACUUCUUAGGACUGAGAAAGCUUACCUGGGAGUUAGAAAGAAGUGAUGGGGUCGGGGCUGCCCUUAGACAUGAUCUUUUACCAGCUGCAUGAAGUGGUUGCUCUUUUAGAUCUCUAGAGUGAAAAUUAGAACACAUGAGAUAGGUUGUGAAAGUAGCUGCUGCUGAUUGAAAAUCCUGGCAACAAAAGUAACCCUACCGGGGUUAGGAGGGUCCCACAGGAUUUAUAUGACCCCAAGCAUGUGUGCCGAGCCAGGCAGUGAUGGGGAGUCCCCAGUGAGGGAAUCCACGGCAGCUGUGCAGGAGCCUCAGCCAAAAAGCCCAUUGCAGGCUGCUGCCAGAAGCUGUCCAAGGACUCUGUCCUGCAGAGGCCCUCUCAGUUGUGAGUCAAGACUGACAUUCCACAUUCCCUCACAGCAGCAGAGGGUUCCAGAAGGAACGGGGUAAAAGGAGAUUAGCUUUUCAUUCUAAUGUGAUGGCUCUUGACAUCUCUGGUCAUUUUUUUUAGGGAAAUACAGAUUUUAUUUGAAUUCUGAUUAUUCACCCAUUCUCUAUUUAUUUGAUUUGUAGCCAGAUUUUCUCCAAUGAUUAUUGCAGAGCUGUGUGUUCUUCUUUGAUGUGUGGAUGAUGUAUACAAUAGAGACCAUCAUAGAUGAUACAGAUUUCCUUUGCUUUUUGGUGUCUUCUGAGGCCAUGCUUCUCCAAUAUUAUACCAAGAAGAGCUGAGAAACUGACUUGCUGAAGACAAUGGGGAUAUUAUAAUCAGUUUUAAUAUGAUCAUAAUUUUGCUCACAAUUUUAUUAAUAUGACAGUGGGAUUUUUUUUUUUUAUUUUGGUGAUAGAGGUGGUAAAAAAGGGUUCCAUACAAUUUGCAGGACUAAGGCCCUAAAAAUGGAAAGUCAUCAUUUUAAAGCUGAAAAAUAUCUGCAAAUCAAAAGAUGGUGAAGAAUAAUGUUGCUGUACUUAUAUCCCACUAUGAUGUUGUGCUGUAUUCAAAUAUCUGAAAAAUAACUACAACUAGGUAUGCUUUGUGCCAGAGACAGAAAAUGACACUUGCCUAGCUGCUUCUCUGUUUUAAACUUCAUCCCUGACUUUCAGCUUCUGUUCAAGGACUUGAGACAGAUAAUAAAUCUGAAUUUUACAAAGUUUUUUUUAAUUCCUGGAUCACUACAAUUGACAUUGGAGUUCCCAUUUAUAUAUAUAUAUAUAUAUAUUUAUGCAUAUGGAUAUGUAAUUAUUCUAUACAUUGCAGAUAGCAUGUUCAGGACAGGAGCAGAAAGAUUUAAACCAUCAUGCAUGAAAAGCUGUGGGGCAGGCUGUACCCUGACAGAGUUGAAAUCCACAUCCACAGCCUUGUUCUAAAUCAAGCUGAGUGAAAUUAUGAACAGCAUUUGUGAUCCCAGUUGCACAUUCCUCGUGGACAGCAUUGACUAUUGCCUCCCUCAUUCCAAAUAGGAUGGAGUUCUCAAAUACUCUACUGUUAUUUAGGAGAGCAUCUGAUUUAUGGAAGGGGGCACUGGGAAGCCCAGUAUUAUCAUGGAUCUCUGUUUCAGAGUCACUCAUUUAGAGCUCUGGUGUAGAGCCAAGCUGAUGGGGGCUUCUUGUGAGACUCCUAAGUCCAGGCUUGCGUUGAUCAGAAGGGCUGGGAAGGCUGUAGCCCUGUACAGUGUGCAACACCUGGGGACACCUUCAGCCCUGUGGCUGCACAGCACUUCCAUCCACACCCUGCUGCAUCCAGAUCUCAUGUUAGUGCUGUUCUCAAAUAAUCCAAAGCCAGGCAGUAACCUCUUUGUCCAGUACACCUGUGUCUACAGGAGAGCCCAGCUGGCCAGGCUCAGGCAGCAGAGCUUUGCAGAGUGCACAGCAAAGCAGUGCACAGUUACUAAUCUGUAGAUUGGAAGAAAUCUCAGAGUCCAGAGGGGUCUGUCAGCAGAAUGGUUGGAUGCUUUAGGAGCUGUGGGAGAAGCCAUGAAUAAGAUCUCGGGACACCAGUGAUGCCAGGCUCUGCUGGACUUGGGCUAAAUAACAUACUAGAUUCUUCCAUGUCAAAUUCCUUUGAAUCACAUUUGUUCUGCUUGGGUGGAUUAGUAAUGAGAUCAACAGUGUUUCAAUUAAACAAUGAAGAUAGACAUGAACUUGCACUGAAUUCCCUGGAUUUGUAAAAUACAAUAUGAAACAACACCUUCUUAAGACAAGACACAACUGAGAACAAAAGGGAUAGCUGAAAGAGCUGUUGACACUUGUAACAAGUAUUUGAGACAGCAGUAAGACACGGAGGCACCUUUUCUUGCCAAAAGCGCAACUUGGAUGGCAAACAAGUGAAUUUGGUACAUGCAGUUCCAAGUUUCAUAUAAGAAUGAAGCAUUGGGAAGGGAUCUGACCUCCUCCCAUUCAAGCAGUGUUUGAGUGAAGAUUGAAUUGAGGUUUCCAGCCCCUGGCUCAUGGUCAGAACGGCCCCACUGUGGGAAUUCCUACCUUCUCCACACUGUCUUUUCUCAUCAACAGCAGAAAUCUAGAUUUGUAUUUGAGAAUGCACCUCUACUAAUAGGACUGCUGGUUCUUACCAUGCAAAGGCUGGCUGAAAGAAUGCACUUCCCAGUAAAUAAAAUGAUCAUAGGAGAGCUUCAGAAAGGACAGAAAUGGUGCAGUUCAACUUGGGAUCAUUAUAUUUGAAAUCAACUAUCUGAAUGCUGUAUUCUACCUGUGUUUACGGUAAAAAUGUGUUUAGGAAGGACAUAAUUGCCAAUGGGAAAGAAAUGGCCUUCUCUGGCCAUGGUGGAGGGGAAGGUCAUCUAGCUGGACAGAAAUUCAUUGAAAACUUUAUUUCUUCACAUUUUAUAUAUAUAUAUAAAGACACAUUUUGCCAGACAAUGCUUCUGGCAAUGCAGAUCACACCUUGUUCACAGAAGUACUUGGUGUAUCACUCCCCUUCCUCUGCAACAGAGUAAGAUCCCUAUGCUAACCUAAGCAACUGCUUUGGUUUAGAACUAUUACUGGGAUAGCAGCUACUUUUUUUUUCCUUUCUUUAAGGAUGUUUUAUGUCUUCUUUAAGCAAGGUAAUUGAUCUCAACUUCUUCACUCUCAUCUGCUUUUCUUCUUCUCAGUGUUCUUUCCUAUAUGCCCAUUCUUCCUCACAUGUUGCACACUGAUCUGCUCCUCCCCUCCCAAUGAGCCCUCCAGGGCAAUGCUGUCCUUCAAGUGAGGGACCACUGUAAUUGCUGUGAUGUGGUAGCCCUGAUUUGGAGGUAGCUCUUGAGUUUCUGUCACCCCUCUUUUUUAAUAACAACCUCCUAAUAAUAACUCCUGGAUCUUUUGGCCCAGAGGCUCAUGGGUUUCCAGGCUACUGUGAAUUAGAAUUUAUUCUGAUCUGAUCCUCUAGCAUCACUGGAUUUUGAGGAGUCAUUACCUGCUAGUACCAGAAUUACAUUUAUACAAUAACUUGAUAAGAGCUACUUAUGCUAUGAUCAUGAGGACAGAGAGCGUGGGGAAAGCCUGGAUGUGCCUAUAAUGCAUGUCCAGAUAAGAUGCCACAGCUGUGGGACCCACACACAGCAGUACAGCACUGCAGGAUGGAGCAAGUUGCCCAGAGUUGUGGAUGCCCUCAUCCUGAAACUGUUCAAGGCCAGGCUGGAUGGGGCUUUGAAUAACCUGGUAGAGUGAAAGGCAUCUCUGCCUAUGGCACGGGGUUGGAAUUAGAUGAUCAUUAAAGCCCCUUCUGACCCGAAUCAUCCUGUGAUUCUCUGAUCCCAUUUAUAUCUCCAUGCUGAAGUAGCUCUCGUGUCUGUGUGAAGGAUAUACAGCUGAGCAAGAGCUGGCCAGCAGAAAGAGUAGCUGCCAUUUCUUCAUUUCAUUGCUUCAUUGCUCUGCAAUUUCACAAAAAUAGUGAUAGUAGUGUACAAUCUGCAGCAUGUCAGCUACAGCUGCAAAAUAAGUAAUUUAAAAAAAACCCUUAUGAUUACAUUUUAUUGAUAUUUGCUCCUUUCUGUUGUCACUAACAAUCCCCACCUUUGAGUUUUUCUACACAGCCCAUGAUUUUUUUCUUUUAAUGAACAUGCAGCAAUUGGGCAGAAACCAAUGAAAUAUUGUAGGCUCCUCCAGUCCCUGUUGCAAGUGUUGUGACACCGCCUCUGUCUCACUACAUUUUCAGGGAAACCUUUUGCCUUGGGAGCUUGCACAUCCUAUUGGUCUUAAUGGCAAACAGCCAGUCUGAUGGAUUAAUCCAGGCUGUGACAACUGAUAAGAGCUGGUGCUUGCAGGGAACCCAGGGUACUGGAGAUCUAAUACUUGAUAUGUCCUUUGCUGAGUUGGAGAUGUGCACAGACUGCUGGAUAUUUCCACUAGUGUGAUUAUAUUUUAAAUUUGACUUCUAAGUACUCAAAGUAAGCUAUUUUUACAGAGUUAUAUAUAUUUAAAUAGGCUUCUUUGAAGUGCCACUUUGUGGAAAGGGAGAGUGCAGGGCUAAUUAUGGUUGAGCACUAGCAUGUAUCCAAGGCCAUAACAUACCUGUAAUCUAACACAUGUAUCCGAUUUUUAAGGGCAGCAAACACAGACUCCUGGGAGCCUCCACCUUCCAUCCAGUCACUAGGUAGUUAAUUUUCUAGAUUUUAAGUUUUUGUCAUUUUCAUUUUCAAGUUCUUAAUGAAUUUAUACAAGUCAUAGAAUACUGAAAUGGGUGAGAUACUCCUUAAAAGGAAAGCCACUGCCACCAAGGCCUCUAACUAUUACAAAGUCAUGCUGUUUUUAAUGCAACAUUGAUGUGUAUGUCACACAAGCUGUUUUGUUGGAUUAGCCACAUGACUCACAUAGUAUAUCCUUUCCCUGACAGCAUUCAGCAGAGGAAGGGGCAAGAAAUGUCCUAAUCGUGUUUAGCUGAGGAUUGGGGUAAACCAUGACUGAUUUCAAAAUUUCAGUGUGUUGCAACUCUGAACACUGGUGUUUGUGUUCAUGCCCUUACCAACUCCUACAGAGUUCUAGCUAUUGGUAGUAUCUAUCAACUGGGAGUCCCACAGUUGAACUGUCCCUCAUGAGAAAGAACCUAACUUCAUGUCACUCCUAAAUAGGUCACAUUUUGAUUCCUUCAACUCUCCAUUCCAGCUUGCAUCAGGAGAGAGAUUAGAAAUCCACACUACACGUUUUCUGUAUAUUCAUUACCUGAUGCAUUUCUGUUACUCAUGUUUCUGUGCUUAAGCAGAAUUUUCUAUCUUCAGGCUUAUCCACCCUGAAGAUAAGCUGUUGUUAAGGAAGUUAGAGUGUGAAAUUGAAGGUUAGUAUCAUUUUGCAUAAACUUUUUGUGUGGCUACCCCUUCCCUGCACUUGGAGGGCUUUUUAGAAUGCAUUCCAGAAUGCUUCUCCUGCACACAGAGAGAAUGUUGUGAAGGUGCCAGCUUAUUCCCCACAGCUCAGAUCCUUUCCCACUAUACCUCAACAAGCAAGGCAGGUGUUCUGAGCCAGGUGCAAUGCACAGCAAUAUCAUCUGGGCAGGACAACCAUGUCCCCUGGCAAGCUCCACUUGUGCUACCCUUGUGCAAGCAGCCUCUCUGGAAGGUUGUUGAUGACCUCCCCCAAAGCCUCCUUUAAGCCCCUCUGACUCUAUUGUUCCUGAAAUAGGGUAAAGUGCUGUCAUUAUGUGCAUAUGCAUGGCUGGGCACAGUGCAAAGGAAAGGACAGAGAGGGUUGUAGGUAAAUAACUUGCCUGUGAUUUCACAAAUUAUGCAUAAUAUGGAAGAUUAAAGCAAUAAAAAAGGAGAACAGAAGGACAGAACUAUCCCUCCAUUUUUCAUGUCUGCAUUUGGUGGGCAGUCACAAAUGCUUUGGUGUUGUGAUUCAAGGAGAAUUUUUGUCAUAUGGGUUAGUUUGGAGGUAAUCUUGGUAUAAUUCCUUAGCUUUUAGAGCAAUAGUAUGUCCCAGGUGGAACUUUGCAGAGCUGUCAGUUUUAUUUGUUUGUUGGGUUGUUUUUUUUUUUAAAUUUACAGAUUAUCUGAACAUUUGAGCUACAAGAGCAAUGUAGAAAUAGUUUAUUCUGUAAUGUCUUUUCCCUUAAAGGCAAGCUCACAGAGUAAAAGGUCUCCCUGGCUCUGUGGAGGGCUGGCAGGAGUUUCUGAGUGAAGGCCAAAAAUAUGUUCUUGCAGCAGUGUUUCCAAACUGAUGGCACUACAACAGAGGCAGCUCCACUAGAGACGAAGCAAGCAAACCCACGCUUUGGCAGGAUGGGGAGUUCUGCCUGCCUAGAUGUAAGGGUAGCUGUCAUCUUUUCAGUUUUAUUUGUCUUUGCCUAAGGCACUGAAAGGAAUUAUGUUCAUACGGUAAAUAAAAAUAGUCCAGGUAAAAAUAUCCUAUGUCUUUAUCCUCUCACUUUUAUCUUACCCAAGAGUUAUCUGCAUCACUUGGGUAAGCUGAUACUCUCUGAACACAGCACAAGCCCUAUAUAGUAUUGGGUGCUGUGACUAAUUACUGGGUAGUUACAAGUGCUGGAAAGAGCAAGGAAGAAGACAAACCUCCUGAACUUUCCACUGUUUUUAGUCUUGCUUUAGCUGCCGUGGGUUUAGCACUCCUUUCAGCUGGGGCCAAGAAGAGGUUUCAAAUGACUGGUGUAAAUGGACUAAAAUUUCAGGGUAGCACAUGCCUGGGAGGACAUUCUCUUCUACCUAGCUAAUUCCCAAAAUAUAAUCAGCAGGCAUCGGCUGAGCUGAGGGAGCCUCUCACUUGUACCGUGCUUUACCCUGCUGGUUGACCUAGUUGCUGAUGCAGGGAGUUACACACAAAGCCAAGCCUGUUAAGUGACUGCAGAUUUCUUCGCACAAACAAGCAAACAAGAAAUUAAAGAAAAGCUUCAGCAAUGCUGAUAAGCUUGUAGGGGCACUUAGGGCUUGUUUGUUUGGUUUGGGAUUCAGUUUGGCCUUUCUUUGAACCCAGCUAAGAUGGAAAGCUGUAGUAAGCUUCAGUGCAGCACACGAGGCCAGAGGAGGCCAGAAGCAGCUGCAGCUCCCUGGCCAUUUGGGGCUUGCAAGAGCAUACACAGCGUCUGUCCUGCUCUGUAUGUCGUGUUCCCCAACGCCCUGGAAGUGUUUGCUCUGUCAUGCUGGUGUCAAAGAGAUAAAAGGAAAGAUUGAAACCAUCUGUGCUAUAACACACCCUAGUCAAAGGUGUCACAGGGUUUCUGUGAGACGAGCAACGUCACUGACUGACGUUUCCAUGUCUGCCUACCCAUGAUUAUCAUAUCACUGAACAUGAAAGAGACUUUGAGGAACUUUGAAGGGGAAUUGCAGUGGAAAAGUGUGUAGCAAUUUGCAAACAGUUGCUUGGCAAGGACUACAUCAUCCUUAAAAGAUCAUUUAACUGCUGUUCUAAAUCCUUUUCACUCCUAAAAGCACACAAAUAAAGAAAUGCAAAUACGGUUUGUACUAGCCACAUAUGUUUUAGGACUAUAUUUAAACACCAUGUAAGUGUUCUGGGGUGGAUUUAGAAAUAAUUUCAGUAAUUUUAGAAAUUUUUUUUCAAUAAUUAAAUUUUGCUUUUAGUACCAGGCAUUUAGUACCAUGAAGUGCAGAAGAUUAUGGUAAUGUAUGAUGAUGUUGGAGAAGUGAAGCUUGCUCCUGUAGGAAGCCCUUAUCCCUGUAACACUGAUAUGCAGGAACUGUUUUUAUGUUCUACUUUGAAAGAUUAUUUGUGAACACUUUAAGAACUGAAGACAGGGUUUAUGAUGCCCAGAGAGAAGACAGUUCAUGGCUCAGUGGUGCUGCUGCUCAAAGAGCCAGGUACUUUACUGGGUCAUUUGUUGCUCUGACCUUUUUCAGAAUUUUUCAUCAGAAUUUCAGAGUAUUUUCAUCGGGUGUUUUUCUUAUUUUUAAUACAUCUUCAGGCAGGGAGAAGUGACUUCAUAAUUUUGUUUUAUUAAAAAGAAGGACCAUGAAUUUUCCUUCUCAGUUUUACUGUAUCUAUGAGGAUAAUAAUGUGUAUUCACUGUGGUACAUGUAGAAGACUACAGCUCGUGGAUUACAUUCAGGGCUGUGAUGCUUGCUUUAGAUGUGUAACUGCAGUAAGACAGAGGCAAACAAAGCUGAUCUGCAUAUAAAAUAUUCUUUUAAUGAAAGAGCACAUGAAGGUAGACAGAUCUUGCUGUUACAGCUACAUUUUUAGGGUCCUAAAGACAAUCACAGACUCUUUCAGCAACAUUUUUGUGAGAUGUGAAUGGUCUAGAAACCUACACCUAGCUCUUCCUACAAAAGAUGCUAGCAUGGAUGAAAUUGUGGAAAAAAUCUCAUCACCAGCAGCACAAAGGAAAAUCUCAUCACCAGCAGCACAAAGGAACACCCCAGAACUGCUUUUCAUUUAUAAUAUAUUGCACUGCAUAAACAUUAAUGAGCCAUGGGUGUUAGAACCAAACCUUCUAAACCAGAUCCAGCAGCCACAGAUGUUACCAUGGUAGUGUUUCCACCACUUCCAAGUGGUCUUCUUGAGCAGCUCCACCGUGUUGGCUCUUGUUCAGAGCCUGAGGCCUUAACUUGGUCCCACAGACCUUUCUUUUCCUACACAGCUGAUUACUGUUCUCUCCUACCCUUGUAACACAAUUGCACAAACACAGCUAAGGUUUGCACUCUCCAUGACAGCGCUGUCAACAAAACGUCUCUUGGCACGGUUUUUGAGCUGAAUGCUCAGAGAUCUGUACUGCAGCAAGAUCCCAAGGGCUGUGGUCACUGUCCCAGGCCUGGCAGUGGGAAAGAUGACUUUGUACAAUGCUUUUAGGUGUAAGAUUUACCUUUUAGUCUGCCCUUUGGUGGGAGUUGGAUUUAAUGAUCUUCUUGAGUUCCUCCCAACUCAGAAUAUUGUGUGAUUCUAAGUUUCUAGUGUUUUCUACUUUUCCCACUUCUUGAUAUGUGACUACGAGAAUAUUAGCGCAACUGUUUGGUGAAAACUUUUGAGAUCACUGGCUGAAAGAAAUAAGAAUAGAAGAGGACUUAGCCCUUUUUUCUUAGUUUUUAAUUAAACACAAAAAACAAAUAAUGUUGCUCACUUACUAUGCAAUAGAAGAAUCAUCUGUCGGAGAAGGACAAAGAAGCUAAUUUGCAAACUCAAGCUGUCCUUCAGUGCAUGUUACUACGGCUGGUAGGAUAUAAUGUCUCCAGUGCUGUUGUCACUUUAUCCUGACAUGGAAUUCUUACUCAGCUGAAAGUGUUAGUAACUGAUCAAUGGCCUGCUAGAGCCUGGAUGUGAGCUGCUGUUUGCUGGAUGAGUACAAAGUGCCAGGAGUAGCAGCUGGCCAAGGGCUGGCAGUAGGAAGAGGUGUCCCUCCAUCUGUAAAGAAAAUCCUAAGUCAUAAAUGAAUCAAACUAGAACUAUUACACUACCUUAUACAAUGUUUUUAGAAGGACAUUUGUUCUAAUAUAUUGUGAACCUGGAAGUCUCUUUUUCUCUCCUCCCACUCCCCUGAAAAUAUGUAUUAAAGCAUAAAAAAAAUGUGGCUGCUUGUACUUUUUCUAUUUGCAGAGUUAAUUUCUAAAGUGAUUCUCCUUACUGCAAGAUCUAACUAGAGGGUACUUAACUUUGCACCUCCAGUGAUGAAACAGGCACUGUUUGAUUUAUGGGAGUAGGCAACUGCAGGGUUUAGGUUUCUUCCUAACAGCUCAGUAGCUGCAUUACAAAAGACCAUCACUUAUACUAUCCAUGUUUCCAUGGUCUAAAUAUCACCAAAGCAUGUAGAGCACAAGCAUCUGGGCCUAACAGUGUCAGAGAAGCUCCUUUAUCUCACUGUUUGCAAUGCAUAAGAAAAGCCCAGUCAUGGUAAAAUGCUCAUUGCUGCAAAUUAUGUUUUAAGCACAAUUGACAUUCCAAGCUCAAAUCUGGAAAAAAAUUCAAGGAAGGAUUCCUGUCCAGGGGUUCUUUGAAUUAAUUAAUUGAUUAAUUGUGCAUCAUUGUAGCC